rnacentral:lncRNA from 1 species
UGUUCUAAUAUUGAUACCAAUUUUCCUUGCUCAUGUAGCUGCAUGAUUAGAACAAUCUAAAAUAUCCCAUUGUUAUCCUAAGCCAUAUUUUCAACUCAUGAAUGUCUUAUUAGGUAUAUGUGGUUGCUAUGAAUAUUAAGAAAGAAGCAGAGUCAAAACCGAAGAGAGCAAUGAAAAAUACUGAUGAUGAUGAUGAUGACUUUGGCACCAUAGACGAACUACCUCCCGACAGUUUAAUAACCCUAGUGCAGCCCGAGCUGCCAACUCUCAGCCGCCUGUGGCUGGCCGCGUUGAAAGACUACGCACUUCUGACUUUACCAGCUGAGUUCUCUAGUCAGCUUCCCCCAGAUGGUGAGUAUGGCCUGCACUAGCUUGCCCAUGGAGUUCAAACUAAUAAUAAAAUGGACUUGGCAGAGGCUAGAACCAACAGUAGCAUAAUGACAUCUUGAAAUUUGUGGACAUAAAUUCAGAAUUAUUUCCUUCAGAGUAUGUCCUUUAUACUGAUUUUGUGAUUCAGGGUAUGACAGCAAGGAGUGUACUAGGUGAAACAAAAAUGGUAGCACUGUUGUAGUGACGGCAGUACAAGCAGAGCACUCUGAAUCGCUGUGGGAAGCAACGAGCGAC